rnacentral:rRNA from 1 species
UGGGGGAUAUUGCACAAUGGGGGAAACCCUGAUGCAGCGACGCCGCGUGGAGGAAGAAGGUUUUCGGAUUGUAAACUCCUGUCGUUGGGGGCGAUAAUGACGGUACCUAACAAGAAAGCACCGGCUAACUACGUGCCAGCAGCCGCGGUAAAACGUAGGGUGCAAGCGUUGUCCGGAAUUACUGGGCGUAAAGCGCGUGUAGGUGGUUCUGUAAGUAGGGCGUGAAAGCUCCUGGCUCAACCGAGGAAUUGCCUUUGAUACUGGUCGGCUGGAGUGCGGGAGAGGGUGGCGGAAUUCCCGGUGUAGGGGUGAAAUCCGUAGAGAUCGGGAGGAACACCAGUGGCGAAGGCGGCCACCUGGACCGCAACUGACGCUGAGGCGCGAAAGCAUGGGGAGCAAACA